rnacentral:rRNA from 1 species
GAUGAACGCUAGCGAUAGGCUUAACACAUGCAAGUCGAGGGGCAGCAUAAUUUUAGCUUGCUAAGAUUGAUGGCGACCGGCGCACGGGUGCGUAACGCGUAUGCAACUUACCUUAUAGAGGGGGAUAGCCCGUUUAACGACGGAUUAAUACCGCAUAUACAAACAGCUCGGCAUCGAGCAAUUUGGAAAUGAAUUUCGCUAUGAGAUAGGCAUGCGUCCCAUUAGCUAGUUGGUGAGGUAACGGCUCACCAAGGCGACGAUGGGUAGGGGAACUGAGAGGUUGAUCCCCCACACUGGUACUGAGACACGGACCAGACUCCUACGGGAGGCAGCAGUGAGGAAUAUUGGUCAAUGGACGCAAGUCUGAACCAGCCAAAUCGCGUGAAGGAUGACUGUCUUAUGGAUUGUAAACUUCUUUUAUACGGGAAUAAUCACAGAUACGUGUAUCUGUUUGAAUGUACCGUACGAAUAAGCAUCGGCUAACUCCGUGCCAGCAGCCGCGGUAAUACGGAGGAUGCGAGCGUUAUCCGGAUUUAUUGGGUUUAAAGGGUGCGUAGGUGGUUUGAUAAGUCAGCGGUGAAAUCUCCGAGCUCAACUCGGACACUGCCGUUGAAACUGUCGAACUUGAGUGUAGAUGAGGUAGGCGGAAUGCGUGGUGUAGCGGUGAAAUGCAUAGAUAUCACGCAGAACUCCGAUUGCGAAGGCAGCUUACUAAGGUACAACUGACACUGAAGCACGAAAGCGUGGGUAUCAAACAGG